UACGAAGGGGGCUAGCGUUGCUCGGAAUCACUGGGCGUAAAGCGCACGUAGGCGGUUCCUUAAGUCAGGGGUGAAAUCCCGGAGCUCAACUCCGGAACUGCCUUUGAUACUGGGGAUCUUGAGUCCGGAAGAGGUGAGUGGAACUCCGAGUGUAGAGGUGAAAUUCGUAGAUAUUCGGAAGAACACCAGUGGCGAAGGCGGCUCACUGGUCCGGUACUGACGCUGAGGUGCGAAAGCGUGGGGAGCAAACAGG
rnacentral:rRNA from 1 species